UCAAAAUAUAAGCAAUGCAUCCCUGUCAUUGGCUGAAUUGGUUGAGGGAUGUGUGCAGAUUCCCAGAAUCCCAGCAAUACAGGUGAUGAUUUCCCAAAGCAACAGCGAGCUACUGACAACAACAUGAUGGCUCCAACACAGAACGGGUUUGGUUGGAAAAGAAGAAUAGAUCUAUGGACACACUUUAUUUAUAAUUUGGCAGAAAGGAGAACACAAUGCACUGUAGUAACGGGAGAUGGAGAGACACCCUGUGGCUACAAAUUAGGUGGGAACAAUACGACCAACCUGAACAGACACUUGAAGGUGCACCACUCUGCUAUUUAUGCCAUGAUCCUAGAGACGACUACUCAGAAACAGCAACCUGGUGCUAAGAAUGAAAGGACACAGCCAACUAUCCCAGCAGCAUUCUCCACAGGAUCAAAAUACAAAGCAGAAUCAACAGAACAAGGCGCUAAAGAAAAGGCGAUCUCUUGGUGGAUUAGACACACCGGUCUGCGUGCCCGUUAAAUUGAGGAUGACGAUUUCAUCCUUAUGAUGGAGACGAUCGAUAAGAGGCCGGCUAUACCCAAGAAAACAAAAAUAAACAAACAACUUAGUUGAUAAGCUUUACAAUGACAAAAUCAAAAAUUCAAAGAAAGACUCACUACAGCACGCAAAAUAACAAUUGGUCUUGACAGCGUCAUUCCUGACAAUUAGUGCAUGUUGCUUUUGCACUCAGGAAAACAAAGGGAAGCACAUAUUGUUGAGACUUGACCAGAUCUCUCACCCACACACUGCAGAGCGUAUAAAGACUUGUGUUGACCAGUGCACAGAGGACUGGGGAAUACCAAAACACAAAAUUCUGACAGUCAUAACUCAUAAUGGAAGCAACAUGGUUGCAGCAUUCAAAAAUAAUGAACGUGAUGAGCCCAGCAGCUCUGAGGAAAAAUCCCAGGAGAGUGAUGAAGACUCUGAGGUUGUCAAAGACCAAAGAUACGAAGCCAUACAGAGGACCCCUUGCCUGCACUGUACAUACACUGCAACUCGUGGUGAACAUGAUCCAGAGAGAAGUAAGUGUAAACCACUCCUUGACAAAGUUUGAGUACUUGUCAGGCUCUUCCAAAAGUCAUCUGUGGCAACAGAGCGACUGCUGCAGCUGUGUGGACUCUGGUCAAAGACUGCCCCACUAGAUGGUCCAGCACAUACCUGAUCAGGC